rnacentral:rRNA from 1 species
GCAGCAUAGGUGCUUGCACCUGAUGGCGAGUGGCGAACGGGUGAGUAAUACAUCGGAACAUGCCAAGAAGUUGGGGAUAACUCAUCGAAAGAUGAGCUAAUACCGGAUAAGCUCUGAGGAGGAAAGCUGGGGACCUGUGAGGGCCUGGCGCUUUUUGAUUGGCCGAUGGUCGAUUAGCUAGUUGGUGAAGUAAAGGUUUACCAAGGCGAAGAUCGAUAGCUGUUCUGAGAGGAAGAUCAGCCACACUGGGACUGAGACACGGCCCAGACUCCUACGGGAGGCAGCAGUGGGGAAUUUUGGACAAUGGGGGGAACCCUGAUCCAGCAACGCCGCGUGAAUGAAGAAGGCCCUAGGGUUGUAAAGUUCUUUUAUCUGGGAGCAAAAUUUUUGCCUGAAUAAGGUAAGAAGCUGAGAGUACCAGAGGAAUAAGCACCGGCUAACUACGUGCCAGCAGCCGCGGUAAUACGUAGGGUGCGAGCGUUAAUCGGAAUUACUGGGCGUAAAGGGUGCGUAGGCGGAUAUAUAAGUUAGAUGUGAAAAGCCCGGGCUCAACCUUGGUCGUGCAUUUAAGACUGUAUAUCUAGAGUUAGUUAGAGGGGGGUAGAAUUCCAAGUGUAGCAGUGAAAUGCGUAGAGAUUUGGAGGAAUACCGAUGGCGAAGGCAGCCCCCUGGGAUGUAACUGACGCUGAGGCACGAAAGCGUGGGUAGCAAACAGGAUUAGAUACCCUGGUAGUCCACGCCCUAAACGAUGUUUACUUGCUGUUGGGGGUAACCUUAGUAGCGAAGCUAACGCGAGAAGUAAACCGCCUGGGGAGUACGGUCGCAAGAUUAAAACUCAAAGGAAUUGAUGGGGACCCGCACAAGCGGUGGNUGAUGUGGAUUAAUUCGAUGCAACGCGAAGAACCNUUACCUGCUCUUGACAUGUCAGGA